rnacentral:lncRNA from 1 species
UCCAGGUUGGUCUUGAAAUCACUGUGCAGUCCAGGAUGGCCUCAAACCACAAUCCUUCUGCUUCAGCCACUCAAAUGCUGGGAUUCCAGGCACUCACCACCACACAGGGCUUAAGCUCUUACUACUACUUUCUUCUCAUUGUCGUUUAUUCCAGUUAUAGGAAUCAAUUGCUUGAUAAGCUUGAACUCCUUCUGUGGUCCAGACCCAACUCACACCUCCUAAACCUAGGGAGACAGCACCACACAAAAGGACAGAGGACUGUAUCUCCAAGGGAACGGGGCAGAAGGUCACUGACUCCUGUCACCUCAUCUCCCAUCACUUCGUGUCGUCAGAGCUGUGGCAUCACUGCCUGCGUGAUGCAGAAAGGACCUGGGACACUGUCCCAGGCAGUACUCCAGAGGACCCCCUGCAGGACAGACCCUUCCCCGGGACCAGCUGGAGCUGGGAACAACAAUGACCACAGAAGCUACCUCCCUGUUGACUGGGAGAUGGGCAGUGACAUGGGGUCCUGAGGCAGCUUCUCCUGGCAGAGCUGGAUGGAGCUGCGGUGUUUAUUUGGGUAGUGAGCUUCUAUUUAAUAUCAGUCUUUGUUUCUGGAAAUGAGACAGCUGGGGC